rnacentral:rRNA from 1 species
GGAGGAAAGCAGGGGAUCGCAAGACCUUGCGCUAAAGGAGCGGCUGAUGUCUGAUUAGCUAGUUGGUGGGGUAAAGGCUUACCAAGGCAACGAUCAGUAGUUGGUCUGAGAGGACGGCCAACCACACUGGGACUGAGACACGGCCCAGACUCCUACGGGAGGCAGCAGUGGGGAAUUUUGGACAAUGGGCGAAAGCCUGAUCCAGCCAUGCCGCGUGAGUGAAGAAGGCCUUCGGGUUGUAAAGCUCUUUUAGUCGGAAAGAAAGAGUUGCAAUGAAUAAUUGUGAUUUAUGACGGUACCGACAGAAAAAGCACCGGCUAACUACGUGCCAGCAGCCGCGGUAAUACGUAGGGCGCGAGCGUUAAUCGGAAUUACUGGGCGUAAAGGGUGCGCAGGCGGUCUUGCAAGUCAGAUGUGAAAGCCCCGGGCUUAACCUGGGAAUUGCGUUUGAAACUACAAGGCUAG